GAUGAAGAACGCAGCGAAAUGCGAUAAGUAAUGUGAAUUGCAGAAUUCAGUGAAUCAUCGAAUCUUUGAACGCACAUUGCGCCCGCUAGUAUUCUGGCGGGCAUGCCUGUCCGAGCGUCAUUUCAACCCUCAAGCCCCCGGGCUUGGUGUUGGGGAUCGGCGAGCCUCCGCGCCCGCCGUCCCCUAAAUCUAGUGGCGGUCUCGCUGUAGCUUCCUCUGCGUAGUAGCACACCUCGCACUGGGAAACAGCGCGGCCACGCCGUUAAACCCCCAACUUCUGAACGUUUGACCUCGGAUCAGGUAGGAAUACCCGCUGAACUUAAGCAUAUCAAUACGCGGAGGA
rnacentral:misc_RNA from 1 species